rnacentral:ncRNA from 4 species
GGGUGUUUAACAGUUGUGUUAGAUAGGUAUUCGUUGAAGGCGGGCCACUUCAA